UACGUAGGGUGCGAGCGUUAAUCGGAAUUACUGGGCGUAAAGCGUGCGCAGGCGGUUCGUGAUGUCUGGUGUGAAAGCCCCGGGCUUAACCUGGGAAUUGCAUUGGAAACUAGCGGGCUGGAGUGUGGCAGAGGGGGGUGGAAUUCCACGUGUAGCAGUGAAAUGCGUAGAGAUGUGGAGGAACACCGAUGGCGAAGGCAGCCCCCUGGGCUAACACUGACGCUCAUGCACGAAAGCGUGGGGAUCAAACAGG
rnacentral:rRNA from 1 species